AGAGUUUGAUCCUGGCUCAGGAUGAACGCUAGCGGCAGGCCUAACACAUGCAAGUCGAGGGGCAGCACGUUAAAGAGUUUACUCUUUAUGGUGGCGACCGGCGGACGGGUGCGUAACGCGUAUGCAACCUGCCUGACACAGGGGGAUAAUCCGAAGAAAUUUGGUCUAAUACCCCAUAAUACCGAUAUAGGCAUCUAUGUUGGUUGAAAGCUUUGGUGGUGUCAGAUGGGCAUGCGUUGUAUUAGCUAGUUGGUGAGGUAACGGCUCACCAAGGCGACGAUACAUAGGGGGACUGAGAGGUUAACCCCCCACACUGGUACUGAGACACGGACCAGACUCCUACGGGAGGCAGCAGUGAGGAAUAUUGGUCAAUGGGCGGAAGCCUGAACCAGCCAUGCCGCGUGCAGGAAGACGGCUCUAUGAGUUGUAAACUGCUUUUGUACUAGGGUAAUUUGCGGUACGUGUACCGUAUUGAAAGUAUAGUACGAAUAAGGAUCGGCUAACUCCGUGCCAGCAGCCGCGGUAAUACGGAGGAUCCAAGCGUUAUCCGGAUUUAUUGGGUUUAAAGGGUGCGUAGGCGGCAGAUUAAGUUAGAGGUGAAAUUCCGAGGCUCAACCUUGGCACUGCCUCUGAUACUGGUUUGCUAGCGAGUAGAUGCUGUAGGCGGAAUGUGUGGUGUAGCGGUGAAAUGCAUAGAGAUCACACAGAACACCGAUUGCGAAGGCAGCUUACAAAUCUAUAUCGGACGCUGAGGCACGAAAGCGUGGGGAGCAAACAGGAUUAGAUACCCUGGUAGUCCACGCAGUAAACGAUGAUAACUCGUUGUCGGCGAUACACAGUCGGUGACUAAGCGAAAGCGAUAAGUUAUCCACCUGGGGAGUACGUUCGCAAGAAUGAAACUCAAAGGAAUUGACGGGGGCCCGCACAAGCGGAGGAACAUGUGGUUUAAUUCGAUGAUACGCGAGGAACCUUACCCGGGCUUGAAAGUUAGUGACGGAUGCCGAAAGGUGUCUUCCCUUCGGGGCACGAAACUAGGUGCUGCAUGGUUGUCGUCAGCUCGUGCCGUGAGGUGUCGGGUUAAGUCCCAUAACGAGCGCAACCCCUAUCGUUAGUUACCAGCACGUGAAGGUGGGGACUCUAACGAGACUGCCGGUGUAAGCCGAGAGGAGGGUGGGGAUGACGUCAAAUCAGCACGGCCCUUACGUCCGGGGCGACACACGUGUU
rnacentral:rRNA from 1 species